GGAGAGGUGGCAGAGUGGUCGAAUGCGGCGGUCUCGAAAACCGUUAACGGGUAACCCCCGUUCGAGGGUUCGAAUCCCUCCCUCUCCGCCA
rnacentral:tRNA from 1 species